UUAUAACAAGAGCCAAUUUGGAAGAAUAGUAGAGUUAUAUUUGAUAUCUUCUUUUUAAGGAACGUAUCCGGAUACCUGAUGCAAAGAUGACCUAUUAUGAGAACCUAGCUGAACCCGAAUGAAUUUUACCUCUCGUCUAGGAAUGGAUAUUUUUAUUUCAAUAUGAUGCUCUAUUUUGUUCUGAAUAUCUACUAGGGUAUCCUUGGCGAAUUAUGUAUUUGGUAGUUUUUUCGAUUCGCCUGUUUCCUCAUUCCAUUUCUCUCUCCUUGAUGUUGCUGCUGUUUGUGCGCUCUGAUCUUGGAGAUGGGGAGACCUCCUUGCUGCGAUGAGGCCAAUGUCAAGAAAGGCCUCUGGACACCAGAAGAAGAUUCUAAGAUACUUGCAUAUGUAGCUAACCAUGGAGUCGGUAAUUGGACUCAGGUUCCUAAGAAAGCAGUUGAAUAGGUUUGGUUGAACAAAGUCAGUGUAUGAGAGCAACAUAUCAAAAAAUGAAAAGGAUGUCAAAUAACCACAAUACAAGGAUAUAGACAAACGCUACUUUGACCAACUAAUCCAGCUCAAGACUACAGAAAUGGCAAACCAAGACCUUGACAGAUACUACAGUGCUCUAGACAAGUAAGCCUUCCCUCAUAAACUAAAGGCACUUAUGCGUUUUCACACUAUGAAAAUGGAAGAAAUAAAUAGAAUUAUUCGUGAACUCUGGCAGCAGACAUACAGAGCUCAGGACAUUGAUUACAUAUACAUACAUUCCGAUUCUGAAGGUGCUGGAACUAGAUCUUACAGUUAUAAGAAAAUUUCGCAUCCAAAGAAGUCGAAUUUUAAGCCUAAGUCCAACUUGGAGGUGGUGGGUAGUUGUGAUCGUAAAACACAAGAAUCAACCACCAAAAGCAAGAAAGCAGGACUUGCAUACGAUGCAAUUCAAUGUCUUGGUCCGUCAUGCAAUUCAAGGGAGCUUGAUCGAGUUGGUUUAGAUGUUAUAGAACAAUCUUUUAUGGAAAAAAGUAUGCGUACGUUGAAAUUGGAACCUACAUAUAUUUAAAUGUAUAUUGUACGUGCACUUUGGUUUUGGGAUAUAUACAAAAUACCAGUUAUUGUUUUUA